rnacentral:rRNA from 1 species
ACGGAGGAUGCAAGUGUUAUCCGGAAUCACUGGGCGUAAAGCGUCUGUAGGUGGUUUAAUAAGUCAACUGUUAAAUCUUGAGGCUCAACCUCAAAAUCGCAGUCGAAACUAUUAGGCUAGAGUAUAGUAGGGGUAAAGGGAAUUUCCAGUGGAGCGGUGAAAUGCGUAGAGAUUGGAAAGAACACCGAUGGCGAAGGCACUUUACUGGGCUAUUACUAACACUCAGAGACGAAAGCUAGGGUAGCAAAUGGGA